rnacentral:sRNA from 1 species
GGGAAUUUCCGGUGGAGCGGUGAAAUGCGCAGAGAUCGGAAAGAACACCAACGGCGAAAGCAC